ACGCUCGACACCUACUGGAGGCAGCAGUAGGGAAUCUUCCACAAUGGACGCAAGUCUGAUGGAGCAACGCCGCGUGAGUGAAGAAGGUUUUCGGAUCGUAAAGCUCUGUUGUUGGUGAAGAAGGAUAGAGGUAGUAACUGGCCUUUAUUUGACGGUAAUCAACCAGAAAGUCACGGCUAACUACGNACCAGCAGCCGCGGUAAUCUGAGCGGGCUGGCAAGGC
rnacentral:rRNA from 1 species